rnacentral:rRNA from 1 species
CCGUAGCCCAAGAGAUCGGGAUAACACCUGGAAACAGAUGCUAAUACCGGAUAAUAACAGAUGAUGCCUAUCAACUGUUUAAAAGAUGGUUCUGCUAUCACUCUUGGAUGGACCUGCGGUGCAUUAGCUAGUUGGUAGGGUAACGGCCUACCAAGGCGAUGAUGCAUAGCCGAGUUGAGAGACUGAUCGGCCACAUUGGGACUGAGACACGGCCCAAACUCCUACGGGAGGCAGCAGCC